UGCAACCUUCUCCAACCCACACCCCCCUUCCUCUAGCCCAAACCAACCCGCUCCCAUCUAUCCCCCCAUCCGUUGGGCUCCUCAGUCCUCCUUUCUUCUCCCUCCAAUACCUCCUAGGCCACUCCAAACUGCACUCCAUCCCUACCUUUCCCCCAUCCCUGCCUCCUCCCAUAGUGCCCCUCAGCCCCCCUCCCUCUCCAACACCCCCCAGCCUGCAACAACUUUCCCCAACCCACAUGCCUGUAUUCCUCAAUUCAUUCCUCCACUCAUGGGACUCCUCAGCCCCCAUCGCUCUCCAACAUUCUCCCAGCUCACCACAACCUGCGCCUCCAUCUGUAUGGACUGCUCAGCCCCCCUUCCUCCCCAACAGCCCCCCAGUUCAUCCCCCCAUCCGUUGGGCCCCAUAGCCUCCUUUUUUCCUCCCUCCCAACACCCCCAGCCCAACGCAACCUGCACCCCACUCUGUCCCUAGAUCUGUGGGCCCUCCAGUGCUCUUUUCUCCUUUCUCCAACAUUCCCCAACCUGCACCCCUAUCCCUACCCUUCCCCCCAGUCCCUCCCACCACCCAUGGGGCCCCUCAGCCUUUCUCUCUCCUUGCUCCCCAACAUGCACCCUUUGUAGGACACGGUCAGGGGUGCUAGGUGUGUAUCCCCACAGGCCAGGUGUCGGGAGCCAUGGAGAGUUUGCAGAGGAAUCGUCCAGGAGCCCUAGCUGGACAGGAAUAUGGCAGAAGUGGACCUGAGCAGCCUGGACAUCCUUCUAAGGAGACAUGAAUAGUUUCUCCCUUCCACAUUACUAGCUUAGCAAGGGAAAAGAAGUCACGCGUCAGUCUACUGCCCUCAUGCGAUGGAAAGGGAGCGAGAGCGACGAGACUGCGAGUGUUGUUGAUGCGACACAAAAACCGUCCAUCUGAGAGCGGAAGCGCCGCCACUUUCAGUGAGAUAAGUGUCUGGUUGGUGAGGGCUCUGCUCAUGGCCCAUUUUGCUCUUGGUAGGGACACCCUGUUAGCUAGGGCUGGGUUGGAAGAAAAGGUUCCUGACUAGAUGUGGUUUUGAGGGAGACAAGGUCCCCAUUUCCAGGGGCUGCUCAUUUCUCUGGCCAGGACCUGUGUGUCCUCUGCAGCAGGUUAGAUCCAGGAGGAUGACUCCCGGUGGUGAGUUGCUUGCCUUCCUCCCACCUUUUUCUCUCUCUCUCUCUAGUACGUUGGCCAACAUACACCCUUUAACUCUCUGUGUCUGUCCUUGCCUUUCCUUGUGCUGUCUAGGACACAGGCAGGGGUGCUAAGUGUGCAACCCCACAGGUUAGGUCUCGGGAGCCAUGGAGAAGUAGGAGCAGAUGAAAAUCAUGUGGCAGUUGGCUCUAAAGUGGAGCGAAGACUGUCGGUGUUAACUCGGUCUCUGUACAUCAAGUAGGGCCAAUGUAGAUGGGAUGGGAGAGGGAGGCCAGGAUGAGACCAAGAUUUCGAGCACCAACACAGCUUUGGGUAGUGAUGGCUCAUGCUUGGCUUUUGCAGCUGCACUUGCAGAGGAAUUGUCCAGGAGUCCCAGCCGGAGGAGAAACAGGCAAACGUAGACCUGAUCAGCUUGGACAUUCUCCUAAGCAGAAAUCAACAGUACUCAGCUUUCUACCUUCCGCUUGAAAGGCUAAGAUGGUUUCUAGAACUACCUUCCAAAUGGCAGUGUUAUCUUCUGAAAGUCAGGGAAACACCCACACCCUAGUUAGAGGGAGCUCAUCUUUGACCUUGGCAUGAAGAGGGCCAAAGCAGAGAGGAGGAUUAAGCCUGUGCGGAGAAGUGUCGAUCGCGAGCCCCCAUACAGCCGCCCCUUCGGCACACCAUGUUCCAUCUGACCGGGAUAGGUCCCAACUGCUCUUACAGAGGAAUUGUUGUUCAGGAGCCCUAGGCAGAGGAGAAGCUGGCAGAAGUGGAUCUGAGCAGCUUGGAUAUCCUUCUAAGCAGGAAGGAGAAAGAAGUCAAGGGUAAGAGCCCACCCCCGGUGUGAGAUGGAAGGCACGCAAGAGCCAUGAGACAGUGAGCAUUGUUGAUGCCAGGCUAUGGCGAUGCCAUCUAGCUGGAAACGGAGCAGCCGUCACUGUCAGUGAGCUAAGUGUCUGGUUUGGUGAGGAGUCUGGUCACGGCCCACAUGGCUCCAGGCAGGGAUGCGCCGUUAGCUUGGUCUGUGUUUGUAAGAAAAGGUUCCCGUCUAGCUGUGGCUACGAGGGAGACAAGGUCCCCCGUUAUCAGUGGCUGCUCAUUUUGUCUGGCCAGGAGCGGUGUGUUCAUCGCAGCGAAAGGUUGCAUCUAGGAGGAUGACUCUAGCUGAGGAACAGUCGAGCAGCAGCCGAAGGAAAAGCUGGCAGAGGUGGACCUGAGCAGCCUGGACAUCCUUGUAAGCAGAGAUUAACAGUCCUCCGCUUUCUGCCUUCCGCAUAACUGACUAGGGAGAAUUUCCCUAUAUUGGGAGCAGCUGAUCUUCCUGGACAGGGAGGAGCAUGUUCACCUGAGCAGAGGCCUGGAACCGGAAAGAGGAAUCGCCCAGGACCCCAGCCAGAGGAGAAACUGGAAGAAGUGAACCUGAGCAGCCUGGACAUCCUUGUAAGCAGAGAUGAACAGUCCUCCGCUUUCUGUCUUCUCCAUGACUGUCUCUGCGCUUGCAGAGGAAUUGGCCAGGAGCCCCAGCCACAGGAGAAGCUGGCACAAGUGGACCUGAGCAACCUGGAUAUCCUUCUAAGCAGAUAUGAACAGUCCUCAGGUUUCCGCCUCCCAGAUAAUUGGCUCUGAGUAAGAGAGGGAGAAUUUCUCUAUAUUGGGAGCAGUUGAUCUUCCUGGACAGGGAGGAGCAUGUUCACCUGAGCAGAGGCCUGGAACCGGAAAGAGGAAUCGCCCAGGAGCCCCAGCCAGAGGAGAAACUGGAAGAAGUGAACCUGAGCAGCCUGGACAUCCUUGUAAGCAGAGAUGAACAGUCCACCGCUUUCUGUCUUCUCCAUGACUGUCUCUGCGCUUGCAGAGGAAUUGGCCAGGAGCCCCAGCCACAGGAGAAGCUGAUACAAGUGGACCUGAGCAACCUGGAAAUCCUUCUAAGCAGAUAUGAACAGUCCUCAGGUUUCCGCCUCCCAGAUAAUUGGCUCUGAGUAAGAGAACGCAGGAGAGCUUGCGGCAGAAGGCGGGUCCAGGUGGAUGCAGAGGACGCGGGCUUUGACUUGGCUGAGUGCGUGAGUGAGGAGGGCACGGGACAGCUAGUAGGACAAACCCUGAACCCUCUCAAGAGGCUGGUUUCUAGAACUACCUUCCAAAUGGCAGUGUUACCUUGUGAAAGGCAGGGAAAGAUCCACACCCUAGUUAGAGGGCGCUCACUUUGGACCUUGGCGUGAAGAGGGCCAAUGUAGGGAGGAGAAAAGGGAAAGCGACCUGAACCCUGAUUACAGGGCAGUCACCCUUUUUUUAGUAAAAUAUACCUCCUUUACACUGUUGGGGUGGGGGAGUCCUGAAUGUGAAAAGAUCUGGAAAUGAACAGGUAAGGGAGGGAUCCUGCUGAGUGUCCCCUUUCCAAUCAAUCCUCCAUCCCUCAGCGACACCCUUCCCGACUUACCUCCUACCCCACCAAGAAAAUGACAACUUUGUGCCCCCUACCUUUACCAAAAAAGACCCCUCUGACUUGUGACGCGGUCCUGUUAGUAGGGUUAGGUGCACCCACGUGCCGGCUCUGAAUACCACCGCAUCUACCUACAACAUCUCAACAUCAACACA